AUUGAAGCUUCGGCAGAUUUAGCUGGUUUCUAGUGGCGGACGGGUGAGUAACGCGUGGGUAACCUGCCCUAUACAGGGGGAUAACAACCAGAAAUGGUUGCUAAUACCGCAUAAGCGCACAGGACCGCAUGGUCCGGUGUGAAAAACUCCGGUGGUAUAGGAUGGACCCGCGUUGGAUUAGCCAGUUGGCAGGGUAACGGCCUACCAAAGCGACGAUCCAUAGCCGGCCUGAGAGGGUGAACGGCCACAUUGGGACUGAGACACGGCCCAGACUCCUACGGGAGGCAGCAGUGGGGAAUAUUGCACAAUGGGGGAAACCCUGGUGCAGCGACGCCGCGUGAAGGAAGAAGUAUCUCGGUAUGUAAACUUCUAUCAGCAGGGAAGAUAGUGACGGUACCUGACUAAGAAGCCCCGGCUAACUACGUGCCAGCAGCCGCGGUAAUACGUAGGGGGCAAGCGUUAUCCGGAUUUACUGGGUGUAAAGGGAGCGUAGACGGAUUAGCAAGUCUGAUGUGAAAGGCAGGGGCUCAACCCCUGGACUGCAUUGGAAACUGCCAGUCUUGAGUGCCGGAGAGGUAAGCGGAAUUCCUAGUGUAGCGGUGAAAUGCGUAGAUAUUAGGAGGAACACCAGUGGCGAAGGCGGCUUAC
rnacentral:rRNA from 1 species